UACGUAGGUCCCGAGCGUUGUCCGGAUUCAUUGGGCGUAAAGCGAGCGCAGGUGGUUUAUUAAGUCUGGUGUAAAAGGCAGUGGCUCAACCAUUGUAUGCAUUGGAAACUGGUAGACUUGAGUGCAGGAGAGGAGAGUGGAAUUCCAUGUGUAGCGGUGAAAUGCGUAGAUAUAUGGAGGAACACCGGUGGCGAAAGCGGCUCUCUGGCCUGUAACUGACACUGAGGCUCGAAAGCGUGGGGAGCAAACAGG
rnacentral:rRNA from 2 species